CGCGGGGUGGAGCAGCUCGGUAGCUCGUCAGGCUCAUAACCUGAAGGUCGUAGGUUCAAAUCCUACCCCCGCAACCA
rnacentral:tRNA from 3 species